rnacentral:rRNA from 1 species
UACGUAGGGUGCAAGCGUUGUCCGGAAUUAUUGGGCGUAAAGAGCUCGUAGGCGGUCUGUCGCGUCUGCUGUGAAAACUCAGGGCUUAACCCUGAGCUUGCAGUGGGUACGGGCAGACUAGAGUGCGGUAGGGGAGACUGGAAUUCCUGGGUGUAGCGGUGAAAUGCGCAGAUAUCAGGAGGAACACCGGUGGGCGAAGGCGGGUCUCUGGGCCGUAACUGACG